AUGGGGCUCGUCCCACACGCCGGCGGCGCGGACGGAUCGGCGUCGAUGGCGAUGCCGAUGCUUACGGUGGACAACUACACCGUCUGGGCGAUCAAGGCGCAGGCCAUCCUCGACGUGCACACCGUGUGGGAAGCGGUGGCGCCGGGCGAUGCGGCGGUGAACGCGCGGAAGGACAAGAUGGCGCGUGCGUUGCUUCUCGGGGUGUUGCCGGAGGAUGUGCUGCUGCAGGUGUCGACGAAGCUCACCGCCAGGGAGGUAUGGGACUCCCUGAAGGUGAGGUUCGUCGGCGCCGAUCGGGUCCGCGCGGCGAGGCUGGGAACGCUGCGCGGCGAAUUCGACCGGAUGGAGAUGGCGGACGGCGAGGAGCUCGACGUGUACGGCAGGAGGCUCGCGGCGAUGGCGGCGAGGUAUGCCAACCUCGGAGAGACGCUGGGUGACGCAGCACUUGUCAAGAAGUUGCUGGAUACAGUGCCGGAUCGCUUCUUCCCCGUUGUCGCCGGCAUCGAGCAGUUCCACGACGUGACGGCGAUGGCGUUCGACGAAGCGCUCGGGCGGCUGCGUGCGUUCGACGAGCGGGUUCGGCGCCGUGGACAAGACAGCGGCGAGCGCGGGGGUGAGCAGCUGCUCAUGACGGCGGCGUAG
rnacentral:rRNA from 1 species